AACGAACGCUGGCGGCAGGCCUAAUACAUGCAAGUCGAACGCUCCGCAAGGAGAGUGGCAGACGGGUGAGUAACGCGUGGGAACCUUUCCAGUGGUACGGAAUAGCCCAGGGAAACUCGGGGUAAUACCGUAUAAGCCCUUACGGGGAAAGAUUUAUCGCCAUUGGGUGGGUCCGCGUCGGAUUAGCUAGUUGGUGGGGUAAUGGCCUACCAAGGCGACGAUCCGUAGCUGGUCUGAGAGGAUGAUCAGCCACACUGGGACUGAGACACGGCCCAGACUCCUACGGGAGGCAGCAGUAGGGAAUAUUGGACAAUGGGCGCAAGCCUGAUCCAGCCAUGCCGCGUGAGUGACGAAGGCCUUAGGGUUGUAAAGCUCUUUUGGCGGGAAGAUAAUGACGGUACCCGCAGAAUAAGCUCCGGCUAACUUCGUGCCAGCAGCCGCAGUAAU
rnacentral:rRNA from 1 species